rnacentral:rRNA from 1 species
CGCGUGGGUGACGUGCCUGUUAGUGGGGAAUAACUGCCCGAAAGGGUGGCUAAUUCCGCAUACGUCCACUAGUUCACUGUAGUGGAGAAAGCUUUGCAAGAGGCGCUGACGGAGCGGCCCGCGUUCGAUUAGCUAGUUGGUGGGGUAACGGCCUACCAAGGCGACGAUCGAUAGCUGGUCUCAGAGGAUGAUCAGCCAGACUGGGACUGAGACACGGCCCAG